GUCUUUCUGGGUAUUUCAGGAGGAAAAGGUGUGAAAUAGUCGUCUUAAAAGAAAGAGUAAUGUGAUUGGAAAAUGGUGUAGAGUUCCUGGCAGUGCUAAAUUCCAACUUUAAGUGUGUGGUCACAAGUUAGAGUGGGUUUGGUCAUCAGAGUUGGGUGUUUAUCUCCAUCUAUUUAAACUGCUCAUAUACGGUAGUUAAAUAAGAGAAGUUGAAUUUUACCAACUAGGGUCUUGACAUGUUGGAGAAAAACCAAGUUUGAGUUGAUGCUGUUCAUAAGGAAUUGCUUGUGAUGAAUCAUGGUGUUUAAGCUCAGUAAAAAAGAAAAUGAAAACAAAACAAGGAGGAUGAAAGAAAGUGAAGUGGUGAUUAGUGGGUUGGCCAUUUCACUGGCAAUUAGAGUUAGGGCAGCCAAAUAACUGGAAUGAGUGAGUUUUUUUAUAAGAAUAGGAAAUGGAAACAGAGACUGGAUUGACUAAAAUCAAAAUUUUGGAGCCGAUGAUAAAAAUGCAUAGUGAACACCAUGACAGUGGCUGACUAAAGUUAGGGGAAAGAUCACUAGAAAUAAAAAGAACAAGAAAUUGACAGUCCAUCAUGUUGGUUUAUCUACAUUUAUGGUGAACCAAACAAUAAUGCAAGUCUAUUCAAAGACAAUUAGCAAGCUCUAGAGUUUAGCAGGAAGGCUUUCAGCUUUUCUCUGGUGAGUAUGAUAUUGGCUAUUGGUUUGUCAUAAGUGGUUUUUAUUAUGUUGAGUUAUUUCCCUCUAUAUCCACUUUGGUAAGAGUUUUUCUUAUGAUGGAUGUUGGAUUUUGUCAAAUGCUUUUUCUGCAUCUAUUAAGAUGAUCAUGUGGUUAUUGACUUUUCUUUCAUUAGUGUGGUGUAUGACAUUGAUUGAUUUGCAUAUGUUGAACCAUCCCUGUGGUUCAUGGUAUAUGUGUUAUUGGAUUUGGUUGGCCAAAGUCUUAUUGAGAAUGUUUGCAUCAAUGUUCAUCAAAGAUACUGGUAUACAGCAAGUUCUAAUUUUUUUUGUUUGUUUGUUUGCUUGCUUUUUCAGUCCACACCCAUGGCAUAUGGAAGUUCCCAGGCUAGGGGUCGAAUUGGAGCUACACCACAGCCACAGCAACUUGAGAUCCAAGCCACUUUUGUGAACUACAUGACAGCUCACAGCAACACCAGAUCCUUAACCUACUGAGCGGGACCAGGGAUUGAACCUUUGUCCUCAUGCAUACUUUUCAGGUUUCAUUACAACUGAACCACAAUGGAAACUCCAAGUUCUAAAUAUUUUUAAUGAAAGAAGACAUGACCAGUUGGUCUGUAGUUGGUGUGGGAUGGGCGACAUGCUUCAAAUCUUCUUGAAUUACUGAAGUGGGUGGAGAAAAAUGCAGUUGGUGUGGAAAUGAAGAGUAUGAAGGAAGCCUACCCUUACCUCCAGGAUGUUUUCAUGGGUGAGGGUAGACCAUGGGAGAGCCCUUCCCUGAGAGGGCUACAGGGGGGUCUUUGAUUUCAAGGGAUAUUUACAUUUAAGUUAGGGCAAGUAUAAGAAGAGCAUAGACAGAUAGAAAGUUAAGAGUAAAGGGAAAUUUGCUCAUGAGAGGCUAAUCAUUUUAGAAGACAGUUGAAGGGUUUGGGGAGAGAGCUGAAAAGGGGCAAAAAGUUAGGUCAGAUUAUGAGUUUUGAGAACUCUCUGUGAUUGAUUCCAUGCACUGAUAGAUGGCUGGGAGGCUUAUACUUCUGGUGAUGAAUGGUAUAAGGGAUGAGAACAUGAUGGCUUAAUUGUUCUUGUUGUCCUGUUAUUCAGGGUAGUUAGCUAAUCACUGCCUCCUUUCUUCCCAGGAUCAGUCUCUUAAGUAAUUUUCACUGGUUCCAUAACUAGGGGAAUGUGGCUUACCAUAAUUACAUGAGAUGGACAAGGAGUUCCCACCAUGGCACAGUGGGUUAAGAACCUGAUUUCAGUAGAUUGAGUCACUGCAGAGGCAUAGGUUCAAUCUCCAGCCUGUUACAGUGGGUUAAAGGAUCUGAAAUUGCUGCAGAUUCUUGGAUUCAAUUCCUGGCCCAGGAAUUUCCAUAUGUUGCAAGUAUGGCCAAUAAAAAAAAAGUAGAUGGUCAAUAAACUGUUCAGUGGUCUCUUUCUUUCUCUUCUAUUUUCUUCUCUAUGACAAAGAAAUUUCCUUAGGAAAUGGAAGUAUGAGAUAAAAUUGAGUCCCUGAAUUAAUUAAAUUUUGUUAAAACAAUACAACUUAAUUAAGACAGCCUUUCUCAAACUUUACACUGCAAAAGAAUCAUUACGGAAACUUAAUAGAAUUGCAGAUUUCUUUUUUACAGCCAAGUAGUAUUCCAUUGUGUAUAUACACCACAUCUUCCUAAUCUAAUCAUCUAUCAGUGGACAUUUGGAUUGAUUUCAUGUCUUGGAUAUUGCGAAUAGUGCUGCAGUGAACAUGCAGGUGCAGGCGUCUUUUUUGAGUAGAGUUUUGUCUGGAUAUAUGCUUGAGAGUGAGCUUGGGAUAAAUAGAUACAGAAUGUUGCCUUUGGAAUAGAUUAGCAAAGGGGUCCUGCUGUGUAGCACUGGGAACUCUGUCUAGUCACUUAUGAUGGAACACGUAGUGUGAGAAAGAAGAAUGUAUACAUAUAUGUGUAACUGGGUCACCAUGCUUUACAGUAGAAAAAAAAUAUAUAUAAAUAAAUGAUAAAAAAAGAAUUGCAGAUUUAUGAGACUCAAUCUCAAAAGUGCUAUAGAUCUGGGAUAUGUAGGAAUGUGUAGUACAGUUUAUGCUUAUUAGCUUGGCAUGAUUAUUUAUAGCAGUUCCUUUCCCUCUCAGAAAUGUCCACAUUUGAACAAUCAAGUAUAUGGUCACCUUAGGAACAGGAUCUGGGAAUCUUCAUUUUAAACAAGUGUCCCAACGUGAUUCUGAUGCAAGUGGUCGAAAGUCUAGACUCUAAGAAGCACCACUUUAAGGGAUGAUGCCAUUGUUCUAUCAAUUCUGUUCAUAUCAUAUCUUUUCUGAAUUAGUCAGGUAAUUCUCCCCAGCCAAGGCCCCUAUGUUUAAAAUUAUCUGCAAGAGCCCAUAGACUUUAUGAAAAAGGCAAGUUAAUUUAUUCAAAAAUGACUGAGCCUUACUCUGAAAUGACAAUGAUAUGUAAUUUAUUAUAUCACCUCGGAUGUGUUCACAUGCAUGCACGCGCGCACACACACACACACACACACACCACCAUACCACAUCACACCACACCACAUACAGGCUGACCUUCUUGAGUUGUGCUUACCAUGUCCCAGGCAAUCUAAGCACUUUAUCAACUCAUGUAACCCUUAAAACCACACUUUGAGCUUCCAUUAACAUUUUUUACUUUUUACAGGGGAACACAAAAAACUUAAGCUUGUCCAAGAUCACACAGCUAAUAUGUCUUAGAACUUGGAUUCAAAAACCAGGCAGUCCAGCUCCCCAGUCUAUGUUCUUAAUUGUUAAGUAAUCUUACCUCACAAGCUCCUCUUCUAGGGAAAAUACCAAUCUCUAUGUCCUCCUGCCUAAGAGCUUGGUGAUAAUCCUUAUCCAGAUAACCCACUUAUCAUCAUUUUGUGUUAUCCUCCAUCUACUGAUUCAGUGUUCCACUGAAUUCUUACCCACGUAAGAUGUAGAUGGCCUUUGUCUUUUCAUUCAUGAAAUCUUCCAAAUUGUUAAGUUUUUGUCACUCCCAAAUGCAACCAAAGUAGAGGAAGGGAAUUAAUAUUUAUUGAGCACUAAUUAUCACCUACUUUGUUGCAUUUUAUAUCAUUUUCUUAUUCAAUGUUCACAAGAAUUCUGAAAGGUGAAUUUUUAUCUCAUUUUUUAAAAUAAGGAAAAUGGAGUUUAGAGAAAGUAGUUUUCCAGAGAAAUAGAAAGUAGUAGAACCAAGACUUGAACCCUGGGCUAUAACUUGAAGAGGGAAACAAUAUGCUAUUAUGCUGUGCUUUAUUUUAACACUAGAAAUGACUUUAUUCUAGCUGGUUGGCCCUGGUACUUUUUCCUUGACUUGUGUUAAUAAUAACAAAAGGAUAGCACCAUUCUCUGUGGUGAAGAGAGCCACUGCUUUGAUGGAGUCUGAGAUGAAAGCAUAACAUCGUGGAUCCUCUUUUCAGCAAUAUGGGAGGUGUUGCUAUUUAACCAUUUCAGAGCCAGUGUCGUAAGAAAUUUUAUGUCCUCCUCCUCAGUCUAAAAUGACUUAUUUUCUGACAUUCACACAUCUAUACAUGGGCCUACUUUCUAGUAAAAUGAAAUUAUUAUAAUUGCCUGAUAACUGCGAAUUCAUGAAAAAAAAAAAUGGGAAACUUCCCCCACCUCUUGGACGCUUACUGGAGGGAGCACAGUAAAGGAUGACACAGAAAACAAUAGCCAGUGUGGAGCUGCUGCUUAUCUCUCUGGUCACAACAUAUUUAUUCAAAUCAGGAUCAAUUCAUCAGUACCUUCAGAAAAGAAACUUCAAUACAAAGUCAUAAUAAGAAAUGUGGUCACAAUUGGGCCUGUAGGAU
rnacentral:lncRNA from 1 species